ACUACGCUAUUCCACUGCGAAAUGGCGGAUAUGUUAUUUACUAUUAGUAACGAUUAUUUAUUUAUUUAUUAAUCAAUACGUAAAGUACGAGCGUCAACAGCACUUUUGAAUUGCCAUCUUAUAAAUUAAAUUUUUCCACCGAUUCGGAUGCAGAAAGAUUCGGCGAGAAACUCCGCAGUUUAGUUUAAAAAAAAGGGUUAGAAACAGUUAUACAUAGGUGUUAAUAAAAAUUUAAGCUUACUUUGUGCAACAAAUUACAGGAAAUUCUCUAUAAAAGAAAUGAAAUACUAAGAGGAUAGUUGGACUACUUAACUACUUUAUCAAACAACUAAAUAAACUUUUAACAAACAAAAAAAGAAAAGAGAGAGAAAAUGAAUAAUAUGAAACUAGAAAAUGCAAGUCGAAUUUGUACAUUAAGAAUACCGUACGACAAAAAUGGUAAUAAAAUUUAUUAUGCUCAAAAAAUUGUAAUAGACGAAAAACUUGGAAUAGACGUUUUAUCCUUAAAUGUAUGAUUGAAUGUAAAAUUUUUAUA